GUACAAUUUGAUUGCGUUUGUGCGGCCCCCAUAAAGCGCAUCACGAGGUUCCAGCGGCUGUGGAAAAUCUUUAUCGAUAAGAAAAGCCUGUAGAUCCUUGUCAGUUUCUAACAGGUUGGACCAAUCAUGCUCCCACAUCUCACGGACCACAUAACCCCGCAUUUUUAGAAAAUGAUUUUUAACAUUGGUUUUGUGGUGUAAUUGUGCAUAGGUAGUCUUUGUAACUGUGUUAAAAGCCUUUUCAUUAUAACAAACUGGGCAACCGUGGUAGAAACAACCCUGAAAUUCAAAAGCUGUAGGCUGGCCAUCAAUCAGAGCGUACCCAUCCAAAAAAUAGUUACCAACAGCCCUUUCACCGCCCUGUAGAGCGUGCUGAAUAGUGAUCCCCUCUUUGUGUGCAACAUACAUUAACCACUGUAUAGACUUUGUUGAGAAACGUUUCUGAUUUGCAUGGUAAUUGUCAGAGGGUAAAAUUGCUAUGGUAUUUUUCGGUAAAAACUUAAAUCUGUACAUGGCCAUGCACACAGACGCUAAUGUAGUGAGUUGAAAAGGAUCAAUAUCAGCAAUGACGGUUUCAGGACCGUCAGGACCCACAAUAGUUUUUACCUUCUUGGUCAUCUCCAUCACACUUUCUCUGUAGCAGACACAGGCCUGUUUCAAGAUUUUAACAUCAUCUAUACAGUAUUUCUUAAGUUCAUUUUGAAAAUUGAACUGACAAUGUUGGUUCUCUUGAUACCAGACCAUAAACUCCUUUUUAUCAUCACACAUCAUUUGGUCAUAACCAUAAUAGUCUACCAAAGGCAUAGGGCCAAUAUAAGACUGAUUCUGGGCUGUGUUAAAAAAGUGUGGAAAAUAGCCUUUACAACCGACGAAACCCAGGGCCUUUGGCAAUUGACUUAGUUUCAUGGGGAGAAAAUUUAAAGAAUCGAUAAAUCUGAUACCUAGAUCAGCGACAGUCACACAAAGUAAUUUACCACCUUGCGCCAACAACUCAAUAGCAAUUUUCUCCUUAAGAAGUUGAUUCACCACAAAGUAAGAAUCAUACCUGCCUGCAUUAUGAGCUAUAAAUGUGUAGUUACUAAAGGGCUUGUUUAUAAAUCUUAUUAUAAACUCCUCUAGGCACGCUGUACCCUGAAACUCCCAGCACUUAUCCCCUUCUAAUUCUGAAGCAUAGAUAUAGUUGGGGAUAUGUACACCGGUCUCCUGCAUACAUUCAAAGUCAUAAAAAAAUGUAUUUGUUAGUAGGGUUUUCUGGGGUGUAUCUUCUCAUAUAACAAACAUGGCCAUCAAGCGUGACUACAGUGGCAUAGCAAAUCUGACAUUGGAAACCUUUACACUUAUGAUCGGCCAUUACGGUGUAACGGCCGCAAGAAUCACAAUAAGCUUUCUGCCUGCACUCUAUGUCUCCGGAUACGGAGAGCUCUAUGUGCAACUUUAAGCACUCUUGUGAACGACAAAAAGUACGACAACUGGAACAUCUAGGAAACUCCCCUUUCACUUCUACACAGGUCUGUCUGUGACAGGUCUUACAAAAAUACCGGCAGGAAUGAUUGUUUUUGUGAGAGAAUGGUGUGUGACAGUAAUUACAGAAGUAUGAUUCCCCAAUGAACGCAUUAAUUUUUUUAAUGCCAUAAUAAUGUUUGUCUUCAUGGUAUAUAAACACAACUUUAUCUUUACAGGGCUUGUCUGAAUGAAAAUAGUGCCACGAACCAUGAUUGUGAUACAGUACUUUAAUUGUAAUGCCUAAAUGUUGUUCAAAAGCUGGGAUGUCGCUAAAACUAACCAGACGAUCAUCAGGGAUACCUACAGCUUUAUGUAUUUCUCUGGCUCUCUCCAACAACAGAGAGUCUACAGGAUUAUCCUGAGCCACAAGGGCACAAAUGCUAGCCGCUAGACACAGGUUAUUAUUAUCAUUGUUUAAAUCAUAAAGCCAUCUCUUUUUCCUGGCAAUGAUACAACUAUAGGGUGUUGACCGGAGACGCCUACGAUGCAUUACACCACCGACUCUAUUCCUAACAAUGAUUACAACCAACCUUAAAGACCCGCUGCCAAUAAUUUCAGCAUUGCUCUGUACCAGGUUUGACACUGCGUUUAAAAAGGUUUCAGCAUUCAAUUCAUCCCUACAACGUCUAAUAGAGUGUAACGGUCUGCCAAGAUCAUCGCUAUCUAGCCUUAAUUGAACAAAAUCGCUGGGACCUAUAUCAGGCAUCAUCCUGUUUAAAAGCUCUUGAAUAGCAUCAUGUACAGACUGGAGUGCGUCUGAAAACGAUGUUAUUCUGUCUAAAUUUACAAACCGAAAAUGUUCAUAAUAUUCUACGGCAUUAAAAUUGUUAAUAUCUCUGCGGCGUUGUUCAACACGCUCCAAAAAUACAGGGGCCUCUAACUCAUUAACAGGGUUCUGCACUUCGGAUGUUCCUGCGAAUCGUUAAUAUUCUCAGGACUAAAUGGACUUUGUUGCGUCUCUGUGGAAAGUUCUGUAGGUGUUGGGGCUAUUUCAGUAUCAUUUGUGUGGGGUGUCGCAGGGGUAACUGUAGCGUCUACGCCAUCCUCAGCCGGAAGCAGCACAGGUGUUAAGCAUUUGAUUGCAUCACAAGGGGUCUUACGGCGUUGCCUAGACAUCGCAGAACGUAAUGCACCUCGCAAUGUAUUUAUGGCACGUUUAACGGUUCUAGCUCGACGCUUAGCUACAAGUCUCUGUCUGUCCCAUUUUUUGGAUUGAGAUAAUAAACCCCGUCCAACCAUGACUAGUCACGCGGGGGUCAGUAAAUUUAGUCCUGAACGAAAGGCAUUGGUAGCACGGUCAAGUCUUUCAAAACGGUUUAAAAAAUUAGUUUGUCUAAGCUCAUCAUCAGUCACAAUAACAAUGUUACGGAUCUCACUAAUCACAGAGUCAAUAAAGUCUCCUAAAGCGAACCAAAAACCAAGUUCCCUUAAAAACCACUGUAAU
rnacentral:lncRNA from 1 species